rnacentral:rRNA from 2 species
ACUCCUACGGGAGGCAGCAGUGGGGAAUAUUGGACAAUGGGCGCAAGCCUGAUCCAGCCAUGCCGCGUGAGUGAUGAAGGUCUUAGGAUUGUAAAGCUCUUUCACCGGUGAAGAUAAUGACGGUAACCGGAGAAGAAGCCCCGGCUAACUUCGUGCCAGCAGCCGCGGUAAU